rnacentral:sRNA from 1 species
CCGAGCUGCCCCUCACCGUGUCCUAUGACAAGGUCUCACUGGGGCGGCUGCGCUUCUGGAUCCACAUGCAGGACGCCGUGUACUCCCUGCAGCAGUUCGGGUUUUCAGAGAAAGAUGCUGAUGAGGUGAAAGGAAUUUUUGUAGAUACCAACUUAUACUUCCUGGCGCUGACCUUCUUUGUCGCAGCGUUCCAUCUUCUCUUUGAUUUCCUGGCCUUUAAAAAUGACAUCAGUUUCUGGAAGAAGAAGAAGAGCAUGAUCGGCAUGUCCACCAAGGCAGGUGGGGUCUGCCCUGCACCCCCUCCCAGCCCGACCAUCCUGUCCUCAGUGCUCUGGCGCUGCUUCAGCACCGUGGUCAUCUUCCUGUUCCUGCUGGACGAGCAGACGAGCCUGCUGGUGCUGGUCCCGGCGGGCGUUGGAGCCGCCAUUGAGCUGUGGAAAGUGAAGAAGGCAUUGAAGAUGACUAUUCUUUGGAGAGGCCUGAUGCCCGAAUUUCAGUUUGGCACUUACAGCGAAUCUGAGAGGAAAACCGAGGAGUACGAUACUCAGGCCAUGAAGUACUUGUCAUACCUGCUGUACCCUCUCUGUGUCGGGGGUGCUGUCUAUUCACUCCUGAAUAUCAAAUAUAAGAG